AAGCCUUUUGGCAAAUCGCCACCCCACAGCUAGGGACUCGCAGUCGGAUUUUCGCCUCCCUUUGUCUUUUAAAUCAAUCCAGCUACACCCCUCAGACUGCUCCGUGAGCAAACACUGGCCCCAGUUCUUCAGAAUUAUCAUCGGAGACAAACGGUAUCAAAGGCGAAAACUCAAGCUACAGUGUCCCGGACAUAGAGAGCCAAGGCCUGCGAGAUACUUGUUGAGCAAGCUGGGUUCGCUGGCAGCUUCCGUUUAUCUCAGAGGUUCCUCUGUUGUUUUCCUGGCUUUUCAGAAGUCUGUUUUGGAAGCGGGCCCUGGAUGAUUAAGACAGCACCCACGUGAGGACGGACCUUCUCUCCUUCAGAAUCCCACAUGUCUACACUAGACUUCUAUCCUGCCUCUAACCCCAAAUGCAUCCAGCCCCACCGCACAUCUUGGCUUUCUGCCCCUCCCUUAUGUCUGGGCAUGUCUGGCUUUCAGGAUUUUAAUCUUUUAGGAUUGUGAUUAUUUAUGACAUAGCCUUAUUUGGUAGCCCACACUGGCCUUGGAUUCCUGAUCCUCUUGCCUCAGCUUGAGUGCUAGGAUUACAGGUAUACUCCACCACAGUCAGGAUUUGAAUCUUCAGGGACUUCAGCUUUUGGCAUUAAUGAAGCUGGGAUCCUGUCUCUUCAGAUCAGCACUUCUUGCAAAGAUUGAGGCUUGCACCAACUGGCAAAACUGAAGCGACGGCUGCAGUUGUUCCUCCUCAAUGCUGGAGACUUUUAUCUUUCACAGUGGCUCACAAUUCCAAGCCACACAGACCCUCACUGUGCUUUCCACCUUAUGAAUCUUUUUCCUUGUCACAGGAACAAAGCACCCCUCUCAGCCUCCCCCAAAAUCCUCUCUGGAACCAAGCGUUAGGUUGCUAUGGUUCUAGAUGUCUCUCCCAGGCCCAUGGAUCGCACUGAUGGAGCUCAGGACACUGACUGAGUCUUAGAAAACAAAACUUCGCCCCGGCAGUCUGAAGGAGGAAGAACACUGUGAUUGACAGCACUCAGACUUGGCCAAGCCCCAGUCACCACUGGCUUCAGACUCACAGCACCAAGCUUCAGCUAUCUAAGUUGGAUAGAAGUGACUGUUCCAGGGCUGUUGGGAUGGCUCGGUGAGCAGAGGCUUGCUGCCAAGCCUGUCUGAUGACUUUAAGCCCUGGGAGCCACUUGGUGAAGAAGAGAAUCAGCUCCACAAGGUUUCCUCUGACCUCCAUAUGUGGCAUGUGUGUACCCCUCCAAUCAUAAUAAUGAAUUUAAAUUGCCAUC